UACGUAGGGUGCAAGCGUUGUCCGGAAUUAUUGGGCGUAAAGAGCUCGUAGGCGGCUUGUCGCGUCGACUGUGAAAUCCCGCGGCUCAACUGCGGGUCUGCAGCCGAUACGGGCAGACUUGAGUACUGCAGGGGAGACUGGAAUUCCUGGUGUAGCGGUGGAAUGCGCAGAUAUCAGGAGGAACACCGGUGGCGAAGGCGGGUCUCUGGGCAGUAACUGACGCUGAGGAGCGAAAGCGUGGGGAGCGAACAGG
rnacentral:rRNA from 1 species